AGUGGAAGCAUCCGUCGGUCGGGGCCGGCCGAAGGGAGGAGGCAAGAGAGUCCGCAGCUGCCUCUUUGACAGGUGCAGGAGGAACGACGCAAGCUCUCCACUCAUGUCUAUGGUCCUUUGGAUCAUCAGUGGAUGCCUGAAGAACAUGAACAAGGUCUUCUAGCAACAAAUCCACAGCCAACCCACUCUGAAAAUGUGCAUCACUGCUAAGUUCUGAAAAGCUCCAGGGAGCCACUAAGGUGCCGCAGGUUGCAGACCCCUGGUCUAGGUCCUUGUAUGACGUGGAAACAUCCGACGGUCCGGGGCGGCCAGUGGGAGGAGGCAAGAGAGUCCGCAGCUGCCUCUAUGACAAGUUCAGGAGGAACGACGCAAGCUCUAUGCUCAUGUCUACGGUUGAAUUGUUCUCGGUUGGUAGAGUUGGUAGACAGCGCACUCCAGACACAACCCCGCGCUCAUCAAGCAGACCACACCCACAGCCGGCCGCAGUCCACGCCUGACACACCUGUGUCUGAUGACGUGAGGCUGUAUAAAGGGACCAGUGGACCAAGGAUCGGCGCGGGAACUUAGUUCGCAAUUAACGUUCAGUAAGCGAUCACCCUGCUUUAUGCAAUCCUGCUCUCCCUGUGUUCUGUCUCUCGGUGUUCUCGCAGAACCCUCCGUCGCCUGCAAAGUGAGCAGUGCGUCUCACUCUUCCUCGGAUCUCCUCCUUCCUCUGAUUUCCUCCGUCGUCCCUAGACUCCUCGCUCGCCCCUGGACUCUGACGCCUUUCUAUCGCCCCCUGAUCCUGCCGGCCCAUGGACUUCCUCGCUCCUUCGUUCUCGCCAAAACUUAUGGUAAAACGCUCCAAUUAAAUACUUCACAUAGUC